rnacentral:pre_miRNA from 15 species
GGUACUUGAAGAGAGGUCUUCCAUGAUGUAUUCACGUCAUUCCUUGAUGAAUCAUACAUGUUUGACCUUUUUUUAAGUAUC